rnacentral:rRNA from 1 species
CUGCCCAAUGAGGAAUUAAAUGGCCGCAGUAUUUUGACUGUGCAAAGGUAGCAUAAUUAUUAGUUUUUUAAUUGAAAGCUUGUAUGAAGGGUUGGACGAGAUAAAAUCUGUCUUUAUUUAAAUUACAAUAGAAUUUAACUUUUAAGUCAAAAGGCUUAAAUGUAUAUAAAAGACGAGAAGACCCUAUAGAUCUUUAUUUAAUUAAUAUUUUGAUAAUUUAAGAUUAUUUUAGUUUAAAGUUUUAAUUAAAUUUUAUUGGGGUAAUAUAGAGAUUAAAUAAAUUCUUUUUAUUUAUUACAUUGAUUUAUGAAUAUAUGAUCCAAUAUUAUUGAUUAUAAGAUUAAGUUACCUUAGGGAUAACAGCGUAAUUUUUUUGGAGAGCUCAUAUCGAUAAAAAAGUUUGCGACCUCGAUGUUGGAUUAAAAAUUAGCUUGGGUGCAGAAGCUCAAGAUUUUGGUCUGUUCGACCAUUAAAUUUUUACAUGAUCUGAGUUCAGACCGGUGUAAGCCAGGUCGGUUUCUAUCUUUAUUUAUCUAAAAUAUUUUAGUACGAAAGGACCAAAUAUUUAAUAUAAUUAUAUUUCUUUUUUGAAUAAUAUU